rnacentral:misc_RNA from 1 species
AACGCACAUUGCGCCCCGUGGUAUUCCGCGGGGCAUGCCUGUUCGAGCGUCAUUUCACCACUCAAGCCUCGCUUGGUAUUGGGCGACGCGGUCCGCCGCGCGCCUCAAAUCGACCGGCUGGGUCGAUCGCACCCUCAGCGUUGUGGAAACUAUUCGCUAAAGGAAUUGUGGUCGGUCACGCCGUGAAACAAACCAAUCUUUCAAUGGUUGACCUCGGAUCAGGUAGGGAUACCCGCUGAACUUAA